GCAUGACUGUCCUGGCGCGCUCCAACAUCCCGCGUAUGUACCACUCCACCGUCUCCAUCACCACGGAUGGCUCCCUGCUGGUGGCCGGCUGCGACCGAUGCGACAAGUACUGGUGGACCUCUGCAAACAUCUCCAAGUCCCCCACGUCUUUUGCCGAGUACCGCAUUGAGGUGUUCCGCCCUCCCAUGUGGUUCAACGUCACCGCCAAGCCCAACAUCGUGUCCAUUGAUGAGGACACCUGGGACGACGAGGACGGUGUCAACGUGAUGCAGUACGGCGCGCCCUUUGCGCUCACCUACUCCAUGUUCUACGAGAGCGACAAGGUCACGAGCGCUGUGCUGGUGGCGCCCAGCUCCACCACCCACUCCACCAACAUGAACCAGCGCGUGGUGGGUCUUGACUCGGGGCCCCUGUCCUGAAGGCUCGGGAUUUGUUUUGUAGUGCCUUCCCAGCCCUUGAUCUUGCUUAACAGAUGCUCUCUGCAAGCAACACGCGUCGGUGUAGUGGAGCUAUGGAUUACUACUAUGCAUGCUCACUCGCGAACCCCUCCCACCUUGCCCCUCUGAGUGCAGGUUGGCUUGCAAGUCCUGCAACACGACGCCGCCACCCGCCGCCUGAUCGUGUCCGGCCCGCCCCAUAUUAACAUUGCUCCGCCCGGCUGGUACAUGCUGUUCCUGCUGAACGGGGACGUGUACGGCCAGAGUGAGUGGGUACGGCUGCCCGGGGACGCGCCGCGCCUGGACUCCUUCCUUGAGGCCUUCGAUGUAAAAGGCAAAACGAACCACCGCCUAUAAGUUUGUUUGAGCUAAUGUGUUCACUGAUGCCGGUUCAUGCGUGGCGUGUGUUGCUAGGGCUACAGUCAACAGCGCGUGCUAGACUUGCAUGUGUGUGUCCACACCUACUUGCUGUGACAUUACACGCACAUGAGCUUUGAGCGCAUCACAGCAGGCAACAAGCCACGGCACGCACACCUGCAUACGGAUUGCAAACAUUCAUUGGGAAUGGGACUGCGCUACUACUCAACUGGCGCAAGCACAGCUUGAUUCAUUCAUGACAAAGAGUUGGGGGCGGGCUGCCUACACUAUGGUUAGUGGCACCAUCGGAUUGGACCGGUGUGGCCUGCUGCGCAAUUGCGCUGCUGCCUUUCACUAUUGCAAAGGAUGCAUCCCUGGCUAGGCAUCAUGCAUGGAUGGCUGCUGCUUGUGCGCCCUCAUAGCAUGUAUUAGAUGAUUCUUAUAGCGUCACCUUCUGAAUUGAUUAUGUCUCCCUGACCGCCGACGUUUCUGCGCACUAGCUGUACAGCGGCGGUGAGGGUGGAUGGUGGAGGGGGACUGGUGUGCUGUGGCGCAGUGAUGCGUCGUGUAGGGGCGCGGCCAUCAUGGCGAGAGCAAUGGACGCGGGACGCCCCGCGCGCUGUGUGGGCGGGAUGCCUCCCACGACAGCCCAUGAACGAGGGUGCUGCAUACAGUUCAUUGCAGUGACUCCGCAACUUUGUUGGUAGUGUGCGUCCGUUUCCACCAUCGCCUUACUUUAAGCAGAACUAAGCAGACAGUAUAAGGGAAACUUCCAUAAAGGCUACCAGUUAGCCCGGUUAGAGUGUAGCGUACGGUAGCAAAGCGGAGCGGAGCGAGGUCAGGGGCUCAGCAUGGAGGCCGUACACGAUGGCCGAAGCGACUAGUGUUCUCUGCUCUCUGCAGUUCUCUCGGCAUUCUGCCUUCCCUGCAUUUGCAGCUCACACCGCUUCGUUGAGCGGUAUCGCCCUCAGGGGGAGGGGGUACAAAGCUCAUCAGAAUCUUACUCCAUGCUCAAAAUCAUAGAGCUUUAGGAGAGCACUACGCACGUACUUUAAUUUUGUCAGGGAUGGUACCGAAGUUCUGCGCCGGGGGUCGGUCGUCGGCCCGAGGGGUCCGCCGGGUUUCAGGAGCCCAUCCUGGCGGAUUUCAAGCAGAACUAGGGCCAAACGCAGCACCAUGUGGCUCAAGUAUGCAUGUUGUGCCGUAGUAAGCACAAAACAAAGCGUGGAAGGGCCAAGUUGCGCGUCCUGGCGUGGACAUGACGGCGCAUGUCCCCACAUGUCCCCACAUUCGACAUAUGCGGACUGACAUGGCGGGGCUCUCAAGCGCUGGUGCGAAUGAUUUCAUGUUUAGAAGGCUGCUGAUACACGCUGUCCAUACUUCAUAUGGCAGAGAGUUGAACGGGGGUUGGGCUGGGUCGAGGGGACUUCCAGGAUCCCGUGUGACCGAAGUCUCAGAACAGGACCGCCGAUGGCACAGCAUGAUAGCGCUCGAGUCGAUUGGCACCACUUUGGUUAUCAAUGGAGGGGUUGUAAACCUAAACGACACGGUAUUGUCACUGGGGGGGGGGGUCAGUGUCCCCUCAAGGGGGGUCCCGGGGGAUUUCAGGGCAUGGGGUCGGGCACUUUGUUUCCUUAACAGGCCUUAACACCCCCCCCCCCCCCGCACCGCACCGCACGCCCCAGUCAGUUCGUCAGCGACCAGCAACAGAAGCAAAUGGCCCACAGUAGCCCAACACUCGCCAACAGAACGCGGACGCCCAGCCGGCUCAGCAGCCCAAGCAGCAGCUGCCCAUUGGCACUCCCAUUCGCGUGCUUGUGAGGCGCAUUGUGGGCCGCCCGGGCGCGCGGGCAGUGUAAGUGCCCUUGGCUGUUUGCCCCAGGCCGGUCCGCGCUGUCAGCAUUCUGUUCCGUCAGCUCAGCUCAGCCCAGCUCAGCCCGGCAUGGUCUCAUGGGCAUGGUCUCAUGGGCAUGGGUAUGGCGCCUGAGGGGGCGCCUGAGGGGAUGACCGACCGGUUUGCUGCUCGCCCGCAGGGGUUCCCCUGCUCGCCCGCGCGCGUGCGCCGGUGCUGACACACAGUCACCGCCGACUUACUUGCAUGUUGCACUACUCGUUCGGGGACAGAUCCAUGAGUUUUGCGCUCAUUAAAUGGGAAUUAUGCAUUACGUAGAGGAUGCUGAGCAACUGGCCGCGUGAGACACGGUGCGGGCGGUUGUUGGCGGGCCAGUCUGUCUUCUCGCGCGUACAUUAUGUCAAACAGCCCAGUAGUGGUUUCCCCCGCGUCCAGUUGGGCUUUGGUAGCAUAACUUCGCAUUAGCCACAAGGCUAUCACCUUGCUGAAUAGCUAGGAGCCACGAGCAAAGAGGUGACCCACACGCCUCGUCAAAGUAGGGAGUCGAGAGUCACUCGCGCACACGUUCUUGGCACGCGCGCCAUUGGGCGAAGUUUAUUCAUAGACCAGGAUACGUGAGCAAUCGGCGAGGAGUUUGGCGCGACGAAAGAAUUUCACAACUGGCUCGGGUAAGCCCAAGCCUGCUUUACUGUCUGAGACAUUUUGUGAGUGGUAUGCGACCGAAAAAUGCAUGUGUGCACUGUGUUCGCGGCUUCGGCGAGCGUCCCGUCAGUGAGCUGGCCACAUUUCGCGGAUGGUGUGGCGAUGCCUUUUGCCGGGACCUGUUACUCCAGCUCAUAAUACUGUACUGUUGGGUAGCAUAUACAUGGGAAACACACGACAGCGUGUGUGCACCCCUAUUAGGGUCAGCGCACGUAACUCCAUUCGCCACGUUCGCCAGCAGCCAUCCCCGCACCACCUUGCAACGGGCGCGGCACCGCACGAUUCUCGGUCCGUGUAAGAAACCCCGUUCCAUGUCCCUUCUUCCUGUCCUCGUGCCCCAGGUACCUUGCUUUCAGCGCGCUGCACGCAACCUUGUCUCCGGCGGCCUCUGGCCACGCAACCCUGCCCGCCGCCUGCCCGCCGCCAUGGUGCUCAGCCAAUCCUUGUGUGGCCGCUGCCGGACCACGCCCUUCAAUGCGCGCCCAGCCCUGGCUCUCCUAGCCAGUGUGGCCGUGCUGUGCGCGGCACUGCUGCUGGUCGGGACCCCGGCCCCUGCCUGUGCGUCGCGCGAUCUGGCGGACGUUGUCCGGAACUAUGCGGUCGCCCACGGCUUCGAUCUGGGCUCAACCACGGAGCAUCCCGAGGGCGCAUCAACAGCGGGCGAGGAAGUGACCAUUGGGGCCAUCGGCCGCAGCCUGCUGGCAAAGAAAUCGCCACCGCCCCUGCGGUCGUCGCCACCACCGAAGCCCCCUCCCUCCCCCAAGCGCUCCCCCCCUCCCCGCCCGCCGCCCCCGAGCCCGCCGUCACCCCGCCCGCCUCCUCCUCCGCUCGCCGCGGAUAGCACUGACGGUAGGUUGGGGCGCAUGUGCUCGCUACAGUUAAUGUCAAACGUGUUAGCAUGUCGAUUCCAGUGCGGCAUGGGCAUGCCAAAUGUUCCGACGCAGCUCAAGUUCGCAGUUUGUACAUCACGUGUAUAUGUGUUGCCCUGGCUGACGUGCAGAAGGCCCUGGCCCCGCUGACGGCAAUCCUAACACUCCGGGGGAUGGCAAAGUCGGACUGCCGUCUGUGCCCAAUAACGACCCGGACAACUACGGCCAGUGGCUGCUGAAGGCGGUGGGGAAUGUGGUAGCCGUGCACAUGUGCAUGGUGCCCGGCACUGAGAAGUUCUUUUUCAUGGAGCGCCCCUCCGGCCGACACCCAGACGGAAAGAACAACAUCGUCGGUUACUACGAUUACCAGACCAACAAGUUCGUCAACGUCAAUUACACGGACUCCGUUUUCUGUGCCGGGCACACCGUGACGCAGGACGGACACGUGCUUGUGGUGGGCGGUCACAUCGCCAAGUCGGGUUACGGUGACGGCUUGAAGGCGGUCCGUGUGUUCUCGCGCAAGACCCUGUCCUUCCACCGCAUCGCCAACAUGACCUACCCCCGCUGGUACCCCACCGCGACGCUGCUGCCUUCUGGUAUGGUCACGAUCAUGGGCGGCACCGUCCUGCCGGGAGCGGGCACAGGCAAGAAUCCCAUCUACGAAAUCUGGGAUCCCGCCAACCCCACGCAGCUCAUGCGUCGCAACCAGUCUGCAGCCAUGGUCGCCCGCACCAAUGACAUCUACUACCCCAACACCUACGUGCUCCCCACCGGCCAUCUUCUUUUGUCUUGCAACCGUUACGGCGAGAUUAUGGAUCCCAUGGCCGCUAAGGUCAUCACUGCGAUGCCUAGUUGGAUGGCAGUUGCCAAAGGCGUUUUCACGGAGUACCCCUUCACCGGCACAAGCGCAAUGCUCUCGCUCAAGCCUGAGAACAACUACACGCCUGAGGUUGUUUACUUUGGUGGCCAGUUCAGUUACGGCUGGAUCAACACGACCGCAUCUCGACUGGCCCUCCGUCUGAAGGUGGAAUGGGACGAGGCAGCCGGCAACUACACGUUCGGAGGUGAGGCCGGACCAUUGUGCACGGGAUGAUGUGGCCGCGAGGUAGUGAUAGCAGUAUCUAGAGCAUUCCGCAUCUGGCUUUUCCGCUGGGGAGGGUGUACUGGCGGUGUGCAGGCGAAGUGGUGGUCAGCAAUGAUGCUCAUGUUGUGCACCCUGACGCAUCCGUCAAACAUGCAUGCUGUCCGAACCUUGCGCCAUGCUUGCAGAGGGCUGGGUAGCGGAAAAGAUGCCGCUCCCGCGUGUGAUGGGUGACGCGCUCGUCCUGCCCAACGGCAAGGUCAUUGUGCUGAACGGCGCCGUCAAGGGCCUCGCGGGAGACAACGCCGCGGGAGGUGCCGCCAAGGCCAACGAGCCCGCGCUGUGGCCCGUUCUGUACGACCCGGAUGCCCCGCUGGGCUCGCGCAUGACUGUCCUGGCGCGCUCCAACAUCCCGCGUAUGUACCACUCCACCGUCUCCAUCACCACGGAUGGCUCCCUGCUGGUGGCCGGCUGCGACCGAUGCGACAAGUACUGGUGGACCUCUGCAAGCAUCUCCAAGUCCCCCACGUCUUUUGCUGAGUACCGCAUUGAGGUGUUCCGCCCUCCCAUGUGGUUCAACGUCACUGCCAAGCCCAACAUCGUGUCCAUUGAUGAGGACACCUGGGACGACGAGGACGGUGUCAACGUGAUGCAGUACGGCGCGCCCUUUGCGCUCACCUACUCCAUGUUCUACGAGAGCGACAAGGUCACGAGCGCUGUGCUGGUGGCGCCCAGCUCUACCACCCACUCCACCAACAUGAACCAGCGCGUGGUGGGUCCUGACUCGGGGCCCCUGUCCUGAAGGCUCUGGAUUUGUUUUGUAGUGCCUUCCCAGCCCUUGAUCUUGCUUAACAGAUGCUCUCUGCAAGCAACACGCGUCUGUGAAGUAGGAGCUAUUGAUUAC
rnacentral:lncRNA from 1 species